rnacentral:misc_RNA from 1 species
UACGGAGGGUGCUAGCGUUGUUCGGAAUCACUGGGCGUAAAGCGUGCGUAGGCGGCUAUGCAAGUCAGGGGUGAAAUCCCGGGGCUCAACCCCGGAAUUGCCUUUGAAACUGCAUAGCUCGAGUGUCGGAGGGAAUAGCGGAAUUCCUAAUGUAGCGGUGAAAUGCGUAGAUAUUAGGAGGAACACCGGUGGGGAAGGCGGCUAUCUGGACGACAACUGACGCUGAGGCACGAAAGCGUGGGGAGCAAACAGG